UUUUUUUUUUUUUUUUUUUGGUCUUCUUGCAUUUUCUUUGAGCCACUGCCGUGGCAUAUGGAGGUUCCCAGGCUAGGGGUCCAAUUAGAGCUGUGGCUGCCGGCCUACGCCAGAGCCACAGGAACUCGGGAUCCGAGCCGUGUCUGCGACCUACACCACAGCUCACGGCAAUGCCAGAUCCUUAACCCACUGAGCAAGGCCAGGGAUUGAACCCGCAACCUCAUGGUUCCUAGUCGGACUUGUUAACCACUGCGCCAUGACGGGAACUCCCUCCAUGAUCAUUCUAACAGACGCUAAGAUUUCCCAACCAGAAAAAAGAGGAAGACCCUCUCUAGUGCCAUUAUAUUCUUCUAAGUAUUUCUGGUUUUCAUGCCAUUGCCUUUACUUCAUGGGCAGCCUUCUGGAAAAGCCAAUCUCUACUCCCUGUCUCCGGCUGUGUGCGUCCUGUUCAUACCUGGGCUCUGUGCAGUCUGGCUCCUGAGGCCAUCCCUGCACUGGAACUGGUUUUGUCAAGGUGCCCAGUGACUACCCCUUGCCAGAUUCAAUGGACACCUUUUCUUUGGCUCUUCUAUUAACUAACUUAUAAACCCUUUCCCUCAGCUUCUAUGGGAACACACUCUCCUGCUGGUUCUUUCACUUUCCAACCAUCAUGUCCCAUUUUCUUCCUCUAUUUUUUCCCCUCAAAUAUUGAGGAUCCCUCUUGGCCUCUAAGGGCACAGAUACUUCUUUAACUCUUAGGAGGAAACUGGUUGGCAUAGAGUUACUUCAUAGCCAAGAGCCUUUCUUCAGCCCGAUUUUUGCCCUGGGGUCUUCUUUCUCUUGGACCCCACUUUGGGUUCUCCUCUUCCUGGAAAUCUGCUGCAAUGAGUCAGCCUCUGGUCAUCUGCAGCCGGGAAAGCACUGGUCCUAAAGGUGCAGUUCCCAUCAGCAAUGCUGCAAGCACCAGAGUAAACCUCUCUUUUUCCUUCUCUUUUUGGCCACGGCUUUUCUAGGCUUUACCUGGCCUCUCUCUAAAAUGGGUAAGACAGAAGUGGAGACUCGCAUUGGGGUUUAUGAAGACAGGUGACCACUGCAUUAGAGCUAAAUCUUAGAUCCACCUGCCGCCAUCCGAAGAGUGUGUGUGGCUCCAUUAGUUAAGCUCAGCUCACCAAGGCCAGGGCUCUUUCCUGGGGUCAGGGGCAAAAGCCCUCAAGCAUCCAUUUUUGGGGGGGGGGGGUUCCUCUGCCUGGUUACAUUUUUCUUUUUUUUAAUAUAAUGUUUUCCUUUUUUUUUUUUUUCCCCAUUAUAGGUCUACAGUGUUCUGUUAAUUUUCUACUGUACAGCAUGGUGACCCAGUUACACAUACAUGUAUAGAUUCUAUUUUCUCACAUUAUCAUGCUCCAUUUUAAGUGACUAGAUCUAGUUCCCAGUGCUAUACAGCAGGAUUUCAUUGCUUAUCCAUACCAAAGGCAAUAGGCUGCAUCUAUUAACCCCAAAUUCCCAAUCCAUCCCACUCCCUCCCCUUCCCCCUUGGCAAGCACAAGUCUAUUCUCCAAGUCCAUGAUUUUCUUUUCUGUGGAAAAGGUUCAUUUGUUGCCUGGCUACAUUUUUCAAGUACUUAGCUGCCCCAGGGUCCU
rnacentral:lncRNA from 1 species